CCUACGGGAGGCAGCAGUGAGGAAUAUUGGUCAAUGGGCGAGAGCCUGAACCAGCCAAGCCGCGUGAGGGAGUACUGCCCUAUGGGUUGUAAACCUCUUUUGUCGGGGAGCAAAAGCCGGACGUGUCCGGCUGUGAGAGUACCCGAAGAAAAAGCAUCGGCAAACUCCGUUCCAGCCGCCGCGGUAAUACGGAGGAGGCGACGGUUAUCCGGAUUUAUUGGGUUUAAAGGGUGCGCAGGCGGGUGUUUAAGUCAGCGGUAAAAUCCUAGGGGUCAACCCCGUCCAGCCGUUGAAACUGGGGAUCUAGAGAGUGCGAGAGGUAUGCGGAAUGCGUGGUGUAGCGGUGAAAUGCAUAGAUAUCACGCAGAACCCCGAUUGCGAAGGCAGCAUACCGGUGCACAACUGACGCUCAGGCACGAAAGCGUGGGUAUCGAACAGGAUUAGAUACCCCUGUAGUC
rnacentral:rRNA from 1 species